rnacentral:rRNA from 1 species
GACGAACGCUGGCGGCGUGCUUAACACAUGCAAGUCGAACGGAAAGGCCUUGCUUUUGUGGGGUGCUCGAGUGGCGAACGGGUGAGUAACACGUGAGUACCUGCCCUUGACUUUGGGAUAACUUCAGGAAACUGGGGCUAAUACCGGAUAGGAGCUCCUGCUGCAUGGUGGGGGUUGGAAAGUUUCGGCGGUUGGGGAUGGACUCGCGGCUUAUCAGCUUGUUGGUGGGGUAGUGGCUUACCAAGGCUUUGACGGGUAGCCGGCCUGAGAGGGUGACCGGCCACAUUGGGACUGAGAUACGGCCCAGACUCCUACGGGAGGCAGCAGUGGGGAAUAUUGCACAAUGGGCGGAAGCCUGAUGCAGCAACGCCGCGUGCGGGAUGACGGCCUUCGGGUUGUAAACCGCUUUCGCCUGUGACGAAGCGUGAGUGACGGUAAUGGGUAAAGAAGCACCGGCUAACUACGUG